rnacentral:rRNA from 1 species
CCCGCUGAACUUAAGCAUAUCAAUAAGCGGAGGAAAAGAAACUAACAAGGAUUCCCCUAGUAACGGCGAGUGAAGCGGGAAAAGCUCAAAUUUAAAAUCUGGCUGUCUUAGAUAGUCCGAGUUGUAAACUAGAGAAGUGUUUUCUGCGCUGGACUGUGUACAAGUCUCUUGGAAUAGAGCGUCAUAGAGGGUGAGAAUCCCGUCUUUGACACAGACAACCAGGGCUAUAUGAUACACUCUCGAAGAGUCGAGUUGUUUGGGAAUGCAGCUCAAAAUGGGUGGUAAAUUCCAUCUAAAGCUAAAUACAGGCGAGAGACCGAUAGCGAACAAGUACCGUGAGGGAAAGAUGAAAAGCACUUUGGAAAGAGAGUUAAACAGUACGUGAAAUUGCUGAAAGGGAAACGCUUGAAGUCAGUCGCGUUAGUUGAGACUCAGCCUUGCUUUUGCUUGGUGCACUUCUUAGCUGACGGGUCAACAUCAAUUUUGGACGCUGGAAAAAGGUUAGGGGAAUGUGGCUCCCUCGGGAGUGUUAUAGCCCUUGGCUGUAUACAGCGGCUGGGAUUGAGGACCGCAGUGCGCCUUUAUGGUCGGGGUUCGCCCUCGUUCGCACUUAGGAUGUUGGCAUAAUGACUUUAAGCGACCCGUCUUGAAACACGG